rnacentral:antisense_RNA from 1 species
UGGCACCACAGGGACACAGAAACCACUGAGGCCCGAGGUGUGCUCCAGCCCCACCAACACUCUUCUCCCUAAAGCUCCUGAGAUCUUGGGGCUGGCUGGGAAGGCUAGGGCUCUGUAUCACAGUCCUGCCGGGAUCAAGUCUAUUUUUUCAGUUUCAUUAAAAACAGCUAGGGGAGGGGCAGGCACAUGCAUUAAGCCCCUUCCGUAGGCAGAGCCACGGAUGGACAGCCCCACGGGGGCCUUGAAGGCAGAGGCCCUGGAAGCAGCAAAAAUGGGGCUGGAUAAAGCUACUAAUAGGAGGGAUGGUAGAGCCCUGCUCCCCAGUCCCCCACAACCCAGCCCAGAACCUACAAAGAGCUGAAGAGGCCCUGGGUACUGAGACGUCUCUCCUUCCUUCACAGUCAGAAAAAUGGACCCAGCGAUGGCCACAGACGUGCCCAAGAUUAGAACCCAGGGACUCACUCUCCUAGCCCAGGACCUUCUGCUGCCCCUUCCCUUUAUAGACCUGCUGGAAGAGGAGGGGGACGCACAUCUGCUCUAGGGCCCUGUACAGAGGCACGGGGGUUGGGGCAUCCUGCAGAGGAGCAACAUGGCAGCAGGGCCGGGGGCGGGGCUCAGCCUGCUCCUGUACACAGUGCCCGCCGGCCACCUGCCUCCUCACUGGGGCGGACGCUCCCACCUCCAGGCCUUGGUCUUUGCUGUCUCGUCUGCUGGGCCAUUGCUUCUCGGUCCUCACAGUCCCAGCUGCAGCUCC